UCCAGCUCAUCGCCGGCAGUCUAAACUGAGUUCCUCAAGCCUUACGACCUGAAUGGCAACAGUUUACAAGGGUUGCGCUCGUUGCGGGACUUAACCCAACACUUCACAGCACGAGCUGACGACAGCCAUGCACCACCUGUGCUAGCUCCCGACUUAACGGGUCCAUCCGCUUUCACUUCAGUACUUCUAGCAUGUCAAACCUAGGUAAGGUUCUUCGCGUAGCAUCGAAUUGAACCACAUGUUCCACCGCUUGUGCGGGCCCCCGUCAAUUCCUUUGAGUUUCAUCCUUGCGGACGUACUCCCCAGGUGGAGGACUUAAUGGGUUACCUGCGACACCGACCCCAAAGGAGCCGGCAUCUAGUCCUCACCGUUUACAGCGUGGACUAC
rnacentral:misc_RNA from 1 species